UACGUAGGGGGCGAGCGUUGUCCGGAUUUAUUGGGCGUAAAGAGCGUGUAGGCGGCCAGGUAGGUCUGCUGUGAAAACUCGAGGCUCAACCUCGAGACGUCGGCGGAAACCAUCUGGCUAGAGUCCGGAAGAGGAGAGUGGAAUUCCUGGUGUAGCGGUGAAAUGCGCAGAUAUCAGGAAGAACACCAGUGGCGAAGGCGGCUCACUGGCCCGGUACUGACGCUGAGGCGCGAAAGCGUGGGGAGCAAACAGG
rnacentral:rRNA from 1 species